rnacentral:rRNA from 1 species
AUUGAACGCUGGCGGCAGGCCUAACACAUGCAAGUCGAGCGGCAGCACGGGUACUUGUACCUGGUGGCGAGCGGCGGACGGGUGAGUAAUGCCUAGGAAUCUGCCUGGUAGUGGGGGAUAACGCUCGGAAACGGACGCUAAUACCGCAUUCGUCCUACGGGAGAAAGCAGGGGACCUUCGGGCCUUGCGCUAUCAGAUGAGCCUAGGUCGGAUUAGCUAGUUGGUGAGGUAAUGGCUCACCAAGGCGACGAUCCGUAACUGGUCUGAGAGGAUGAUCAGUCACACUGGAANUGAGACACGGUCCANNCUCCUACGGGAGGCAGCAGUGGGGAAUAUUGGACAAUGGGNGAAAGCCUGAUCCANCCAUGCCGCGUGUGUGAAGAAGGUCUUCGGAUUGUAAAGCACUUUAAGUUGGGAGGAAGGGCAGUUACCUAAUACGUAUCUGUUNUGACGUUACCGACAGAAUAAGCACCGGCUA